CCUACGGGAGGCAGCAGUGGGGAAUAUUGCACAAUGGGCGCAAGCCUGAUGCAGCGACGCCGCGUGGGGGAUGAAGGCCUUCGGGUUGUAAACCCCUUUCAGCAGGGAAGAAGCGAAAGUGACGGUACCUGCAGAAGAAGCGCCGGCUAACUACGUGCCAGCAGCCGCGGUAAUACGUAGGGCGCAAGCGUUGUCCGGAAUUAUUGGGCGUAAAGAGCUCGUAGGCGGUUUGUCGCGUCUGCUGUGAAAGUCCGAGGCUCAACCUCGGAUCUGCAGUGGGUACGGGCAGACUAGAGUGUGGUAGGGGAGACUGGGAAUUCCUGGUGUAGCGGUGGAAUGCGCAGAUAUCAGGAGGAACACCAAUGGCGAAGGCAGGUCUCUGGGCCACAACUGACGCUGAGGAGCGAAAGCAUGGGGAGCGAACAGGAUUAGAUACCCUGGUAGUCCAUGCCGUAAACGGUGGGCACUAGAUGUGGGGCUCUUUCCNUGAGUCGUCGUCGCNGCUACGACAUAGUGCCCGCCGUCGGGAGGUACGGCCGCGACGGACGUAAACGUUAAAGUAGUAGUUAGUACGGCGUGAGACGUAGACCGACGGACGACGACGAGGGAGGAGG
rnacentral:rRNA from 1 species